rnacentral:lncRNA from 1 species
GUGGAGCUGGCUCUUAGGAGACUGUGAGUGUUCCGAGAACUGCUGCAUGUGAAGUGCCAGGGAUGUUCGGGCUUCUGGUAAGAACUCAGUAUAAUCUGCCAUGGUGCUUCGGCCCUGCCUUUCAGGGGCUCCUACCUCCAGGGCCACUACGAGUCCGAGCUUGCAGGCAGAAGGCAGGCUUGCUGGACCCAGGGAGCAUUCUGCACAAGCUCUAUCUGAUGAGGCUUCCGGCAGCCUCCUGCUAAUGCCGCUGGUGACAUCCCAAAGGAAGUCACCAGUCCUUAGAAGUCCCGCUCCUCCCCCUCCCAGAGUCUCACUGCCUUGAAAUUCUCUCACCCUGUGGGAGAGUGUCCCACCGUGACUGCCUUUCUGAGAUUUUUGAGGAGAUGCUUAACUCACACCCCCUCUAACUUUACAUCUCUUUAGCAAGACCACAAAGAAUGGGUAUCAUGAUGAAGCUUUCAUAACACAACGGAAAGACUGGGCUUAGUAGCCAAUAGGCUGGCAUGCAAUCCCCAGUCACGCUAUUUACUCUAAGUUCUUCAACCCCUUUGAACUUCAGUUUCCUCACAUCUAUAAUGAUUCUGAUGACACUUAGUCCAGAAGGUUACUAUGGAGAUUAAGUCAGGUGAUCUGUGACAGUACCUAAUAUGCUGGGCACAUAUAAAAGAUGCUUGAUAAAUACUGUUUCCUCCCACUUUUUCCAGAGGGAAUAUCAUGGACCAUAGCUUAGUCAAUCAGCCUUUUAGCAUCCUGUACUUCUCAGUAGCAUUCAACAUCUGUUGGAUCAUAGACAAAGCAAGCGAAUUCCAGAAAAAUAUCUACUUCUGCUUCAUUGACUAGACUAAAGCCUUUGAUUCUGUGCAUCACAACAAACAGUGGAAAAUUCUUAAAGAGAUGGGAAUACCAGACCACCUUACCUCUCUCCUGAGAAACCUGCAUGUAAGUCAAGAAGCAACAGUUAGAACUGGACAUGGAAUAAUGGACUAGUUCCAAACUGGGAAAGGAGUAUGUCAAGGCUCUAUAUCGUCACCCUGCUUAUGUAACUUAUAUGCAGUGUAAAUCAUGCAAAAUGCCAGGUUGGAUGAAGCACAAGCUGGAAUCAAGAUUGCCGGGAGAAAUACCAAUGACCUCAGAUAGGCCGAUGACACCACGCUUAAGGCAGAAAAUGAAGAGGAAUUAGAGAGCCUCUUGAUGAAAGUGAAAGUGAAAAAAUUGGCUUAAAAUUCAGCAUUCAAAAAAUGAAGAUCAUGGCAUCCGGUCCCAUCACUUCAUGGCAAAUAGAUGGGGAAACCAUGGAAACAGUGACAGACUUUAUUUUCUUG